rnacentral:rRNA from 1 species
UACGUAGGGUGCAAGCGUUGUUCGGAAUUACUGGGCGUAAAGCGCACGUAGGCGGAUUGUUAAGUUAGGGGUGAAAUCCCAGGGCUCAACCCUGGAACUGCCUUUAAUACUGGCAAUCUCGAGUCCGAGAGAGGUGAGUGGAAUUCCGAGUGUAGAGGUGAAAUUCGUAGAUAUUCGGAGGAACACCAGUGGCGAAGGCGGCUCACUGGCUCGGUACUGACGCUG